rnacentral:rRNA from 1 species
GACGAACGCUGGCGGCGUGCCUAAUACAUGCAAGUCGAACGGUUUAGUUCCAAGAGGCUUGCCUUUUGGAACUAGACAGUGGCGGACGGGUGAGUAACACGUAGGCAACCUACCUGUCAAACCGGGAUAACCUCGGGAAACCGAAGCUAAACCCGGAUAAGCUCCUUUUUCGCAUGAAGGGGGAGUGAAAAGGUGCGACCUGAUGACAGAUGGGCCUGCGGCGCAUUAGCUAGUAGGUAGGGUAACGGCCUACCUAGGCGAUGAUGCGUAGCCGACCUGAGAGGGCGUACGGCCACACUGGGACUGAGAUACGGCCCAGACUCCUACGGGAGGCAGCAGUAGGGAAUCUUCGGCAAUGGGCGAAAGCCUGACCGAGCAACGCCGCGUGAGUGAGGAAGGCCUUCGGGUUGUAAAACUCUGUUGUUUGGGAAGAAGGGAAAGGGUAGGACCCUUUGAUGACGGUACCAAACGAGAAAGCCCCGGCUAACUACGUG